CCCUUAGAUGUUCUGGGCCGCACGCGCGCUACACUGACGGAGUCAACGAGUUUAUAACCUGUACCGGAAGGUUUGGGUAAUCUUUUGAAACUUCGUCGUGCUGGGGCUUGAUCCUUGCAAUUUUCGAUCAUAAACGAGGAAUUCCUAGUAAGCGUGAUUCAUCAAAUCGCGUUGAUUACGUCCCUGCCCUUUGUACACACCGCCCGUCGCUACUACCGAUUGAAUGUUUUAGUGAGGUCUCGGGACUGCAGUCAUAGAGCUGGCAACAGCACUUUAACAGCGGAAACUUGGACAAACUUGAGCAUUUAGAGGAAGUAAAAGUCGUAACA
rnacentral:rRNA from 1 species